AUGAAGGUCAUCUCAUCAGCUCAUAGCCUUCUCAUCAAUUUUUGCUUUUCACAAAGGCUUUUCAGUGUCACAAUUAACCAAAUAAAGAAGCAACCAGCAACACAAUACAGCACAAGCACAAAAUCAAAGGGAGACAGAGAGGAAGCAGGAGCUCAUCUGCCUGACAGAGAUGAGAACGAGCCGAGGAGGAGGGGCGUGAAUGACAGGUGUGUGGACGGGCUUCUCGGGUGGAUGGACAGUGGCGCGAGAGCAAGACGGAGCCGGCUUUCUUGGCGACCCGCCCUACCACUGCCGAGGACGACGGCGACGGUGCUGUGGACAAUCAUGCUGGCGCUUGUAGCCUCGUCUGUCCCUCCCGCUCCAGAUCGAGAACCUAGGAGACAAGGAGUGGUGACACUGAGAGGGAUGUGA
rnacentral:rRNA from 1 species